GCGAGAUAGCUCAGGCGGUUAGAGCGUCGGAUUCAUAACCCGGAGGUCGGGAGUUCAAGUCUCCCUCUCGC
rnacentral:tRNA from 1 species